rnacentral:rRNA from 1 species
AGCUACAUGCUACUAUAGCGUGCGCGACGUUGCGUGAUUCAAUUGGGUUCGAUUCCGGAGAGGGAGCCUGAGAUAGUCUACCACAUCCAGGAAGGCAGCAGGCGCGCAAAUUACCCAAUCCCGAACGGGGAGGUAGUGACAAUAAAUAACAAUACCGGGCUCCUCCAGUCUGGUAUUGGAUGAGUACAAUCUAAAUCCCUUAACGAGGAUCCUUGGAGGGCAAGUCUGGUGCCAGCAGCCGCGGUAAUUCCGCUCCAUAGCGUAAUAAAGUUGUUGCAGUUAAAAAGCUCGUAGUUGGACCUUGGGCUGGACGGCCGGUCCGCCCCACGGUGUGCCCGGUUGCCCGUCCCUUCUCUGGGUAUCGUCCUUCCGUAACUGGAAAGGUCGUGCCUCCGCGAAUUAUUUAAAGUUUUAGCUGCUCAAGCCGCACAUCUAGGAGCUUAUAAGGGAGACUCGAUGUUUUUGUCUUUUGUUGGCUUCUGUCUAUAUGACAUAGGGACAUUAGGGGCUUCGCUUUCGAGACUAGUGAAUUCUGAAUUGAACACAACACUGCGAACUUUGCCAGGAUGUUUCAUAAUCAGAAGAAUUGGGGCUCAAACAUAGUACCUCUAGUCUCAACAUAACAUGCUACGACGAUUGCGAUUGCUCUCUGACUCCUCGCGCUCAGGAUCCAAGUCAUUGGGUACAAGG